CUAUCCAUCCGCGGGAAGUCACCACGAAAAUUUCAUUUUUCGCCUCCUCGGCUCCCCCCUUCCCCCGAAUCCGUCCACCAUGUCGACGUCCAGGCUUCGAGGGUUCGAACCGGCCGACUCUAUCCCUAAUCCUAGCGAGAAUAGAAGAAAACAGCGUAUCGAUCUCGGAAACGGCAGCGAGGUCAUCUACAUCCCGCGAUUCGUGCCUCGCGACCAGGCGUGGGAUUGGUUCCAGUAUCUCGACAAAGAGAUCCCGUGGACGAGACCUACGAUUCACGUCUUCGGCAAAUCUUGUCUCCAGCCCAGAGACACAUGUUAUGUUGCAAGUGAAGGGCUUACAGAAUUAAAAUAUAGUGGGUAUCAGCCUCAUGCAUAUUCUUGGGAUGACUACCCUGUGCUUAAAGACAUUCUGAAGGCGGUCCAUGAGGCACUUCCAGGAAGUAAAUUUAAUAGCUUGUUAUUGAAUAGAUACAAGAGUGGCUCAGACUAUGUGGCCUGGCAUUCUGAUGAUGAGAAGUUGUAUGGACCAACUCCAGAAAUUGCAUCAGUCUCCUUUGGAUGCGAACGAGAAUUUCUAUUGAGGAAGAAGCCAGCCAAAACACCUCAAGCUGCUCGAGGUGCAGAAAAAUCAGCAGGCAAGCGACCAAAGGGCAGCCCCUCAGACCAGCAUGGCUUUGUGCUGAGGCAUGGCUCUUUGCUAGUGAUGAGAGGCUACACGCAGAGAGAUUGGGUUCACUCAAUACCCAAGCGCGUGAAAGCUAAUUCUGUUAGGAUCAACCUCACUUUCAGGCUUGUACCGACCUGAAGAUCUACAGGACAACUACUGACAGAGAUCAGUGUUACUGGUUCAAGAAGGAAUUUAUCUCGAUUGUAGUGGAAACCAAAUAGGCCUCUUGCCCUCAAGAUCUUGUACCCCAUUCGAGAUCACCCCCAGGGAUAGCAGUAAAAGACUUCAGCUUCAGGGUUCUUUCUCUUUGGGUAAACAUACAUUUUGUAUACAUAAACUGUUUAGAAGCUCUGUACUUUGCAAUUUCUAGUAAGUUACACUGGAAAUGUUACAUAUGAAAGCAUGAUCAGUUUAACUA